GAAAUGCGAUAAGUAGUGUGAAUUGCAGAAUUCAGUGAAUCAUCGAAUCUUUGAAUGCACAUUGCGCUUCCUGGAAUCCCGGGGAGCAUGCCCGUUUCAGAAUCAUUAAAAUCCUCUGCGGGCUCUGGUGGUAGCACCAGAGCAGGCAGGAUGUGGAUGCUUUGCAGAUUUCUCUUCUGCAAUCAUCUGUAAUGCAUUGUAUGCGCUGCAAUCAACAUUUUGGUUGGCAGUCAAACAGCAACAGAUUGUUUUCUCUUCUUUGUUUGACUGGCAAUUGAGAUUGAUUGUGGACAUCAUCUCAAAAUUCAUACGGAAGGCAUGGCAUUUUGCCAUGUUUUCUGAGAUCCUGGUCUGAAACUGGCAAGAAAACCCGCUGAACUUAA
rnacentral:misc_RNA from 1 species